rfam:Asian citrus Psyllid, Diaphorina citri - Florida Strain, whole genome shotgun sequence.
GCCUAGUUAGCUUGGUUGGUAGCGCGUCUGCUUUGUAAGCGCUAGGCCGCGGGUUAAAUUCCCGCCCGGGGCG